rnacentral:rRNA from 1 species
AUGCGUUGUUGGGUAGGGGAGCGUUCUGUAAGCCUGUGAAGGUGUGCUGUGAGGCAUGCUGGAGGUAUCAGAAGUGCGAAUGCUGACAUAAGUAACGAUAAAGCGGGUGAAAAGCCCGCUCGCCGGAAGACCAAGGGUUCCUGUCCAACGUUAAUCGGGGCAGGGUGAGUCGACCCCUAAGGCGAGGCCGAAAGGCGUAGUCGAUGGGAAACAGGUUAAUAUUCCUGUACUUGGUGUUACUGCGAAGGGGGGACGGAGAAGGCUAUGUUGGCCGGGCGACGGUUGUCCCGGUUUAAGCGUGUAGGCUGGUUUUCCAGGCAAAUCCGGAAAAUCAAGGCUGAGGCGUGAUGACGAGGCACUACGGUGCUGAAGCAACAAAUGCCCUGCUUCCAGGAAAAGCCUCUAAGCAUCAGGUAACAUCAAAUCGUACCCCAAACCGACACAGGUGGUCAGGUAGAGAAUACCAAGGCGCUUGAGAGAACUCGGGUGAAGGAACUAGGCAAAAUGGUGCCGUAACUUCGGGAGAAGGCACGCUGAUAUGUAGGUGAAGUCCCUCGCGGAUGGAGCUGAAAUCAGUCGAAGAUACCAGCUGGCUGCAACUGUUUAUUAAAAACACAGCACUGUGCAAACACGAAAGUGGACGUAUACGGUGUGACGCCUGCCCGGUGCCGGAAGGUUAAUUGAUGGGGUCAGCGCAAGCGAAGCUCUUGAUCGAAGCCCCGGUAAACGGCGGCCGUAACUAUAACGGUCCUAAGGUAGCGAAAUUCCUUGUCGGGUAAGUUCCGACCUGCACGAAUGGCGUAAUGAUGGCCAGGCUGUCUCCACCCGAGACUCAGUGAAAUUGAACUCGCUGUGAAGAUGCAGUGUACCCGCGGCAAGACGGAAAGACCCCGUGAACCUUUACUAUAGCUUGACACUGAACAUUGAGCCUUGAUGUGUAGGAUAGGUGGGAGGCUUAGAAGUGUGGACGCCAGUCUGCAUGGAGCCGACCUUGAAAUACCACCCUUUAAUGUUUGAUGUUCUAACGUUGACCCGUAAUCCGGGUUGCGGACAGUGU